rnacentral:rRNA from 1 species
GAUGAACGCUAGCGAUAGGCUUAAUACAUGCAAGUCGAGGGGCAGCAUGGUCUUAGCUUGCUAAGACUGAUGGCGACCGGCGCACGGGUGCGUAACGCGUAUGCAACUUGCCUCACAGAGGGGGAUAACCCGUCGAAAGACGGACUAAUACCGCGUACACUUGGGAUAGGGCAUCCUGACCCAAGGAAAUGAAAUUCGCUGUGAGAUAGGCAUGCGUCCCAUUAGCUAGUUGGUGAGGUAACGGCUCACCAAGGCGACGAUGGGUAGGGGAACUGAGAGGUUGAACCCCCACACUGGUACUGAGACACGGACCAGACUCCUACGGGAGGCAGCAGUGAGGAAUAGUGAUCAAUGGGCGAGAGCCUGAACCAGCCAAGUCGCGUGAAGGAUGACUGUCUUAUGGAUUGUAAACUUCUUUUAGACGGGAAUAACAAGAGCCACGUGUGGCUCCCUGCAUGUACCGGAUGAAUAAGCAUCGGCUAACUCCGUG